UCAGACGAUGCGUCAUGCAUAUCAAUAAGCGGAGGAAAAGAAACUAACAAGGAUUCCCUUAGUAACGGCGAGUGAAGCGGGAAGAGCUCAAAUUUGAAAUCUUCAAGGUUUUACCUUGACGAAUUGUAGUUUAAAGAAGUGUUUUCUGUUGAAGUUUUGGUAAAAGUUCUUUGGAAUAGGACAUCAUAGAGGGUGAGAAUCCCGUAUUUGACCAUUAUUUUCAGCUGUGUGAUACACUUUCAAAGAGUCGGAUUGUUUGGGAAUGCAGUCCAAAAUGGGUGGUAAAUUUCAUCUAAAGCUAAAUAUUGGCGAGAGACCGAUAGCGAACAAGUACCGUGAGGGAAAGAUGAAAAGAACUUUGAAAAGAGAGUUAAACAGUACGUGAAAUUGUCAAAAGGGAAGCGUUUGACACCAGUGUUGUUUUUCUGAAAAUCAAUUAAAGAACUGUUUAUGCUAAGUUGUUUAGACUUUAUCAGCUAACUGUUUAGUUUUGAGCUUUUCUUUAAUGCACUUUUCAGUUAACAAGUCAACAUCAAUUUCUUUUGCUGUAAAAAAGCUUGAGGAAGGUGGCUUGAGAUUCGUCUUAAGUGUUUAUAGCCUCUUGCCUAUGCAGUCGGAGAGAUUGAGGUCUGCAGCGUAGAUCCUUCGGGGCUAAAUGCAUUUGUGCUAAGUUAUAGCAUUUUAUAGACAACUUGUUGACUAUGAUUUGUCUUGUAGCUUACUCGCUUAUGUUAUUUUACCUACGCUUAGGAUGUUGAAUCUGUGCGAGACUAC
rnacentral:rRNA from 1 species